UAGCUCAUUUUGUGCUUCCUUCGUUCCACAAUUAUUAUGUAUUUAAUAUCUUCCAAACAGUGUUAACGAACAGAAUGAGCUUUCCGUUCUUUUGGCCAUAGCAAGUGCUUCAGAUCUAGUCACAAUGUUCAUAAGGUACAAUACAUUAUCGUUGAAUAUCUGGAAUUCGCGAAACGUUUUGUCCGAUUGCUGCUGCUCCCGUCAUGAGACUUUGCUUUCUUCCACGACUAGCCGGCACGAUCCGGUUUCGUUGUUGCUGUCUAGUAACAGUUCUGGCACUGAUAACCUUCCUGUAUCUUUUGGUGAAUAUGAUUAUAGCGCAUUCGAGAAAGAAUCAGUGCACAACAUGCUACGAAAUUAUUGACGUUGUGUACACAUGGGUUAAUGGAAGCGAUCAACAGUUUUUGGACAAAAUUGCUCACUAUUCAGAAGCGCCGGACAAAGCUCGCUACGAUGAUAAGAAUGAAUUGAAAUAUUCCCUCAGAUCUCUGGAAAAAUACGCACCCUGGAUCAGGCACGUGUAUAUUGUGACAAACGGUCAGAUUCCUUUUUGGCUUGACCUUGAUAAUGCAAAAGUGCAGUUAAUUCAACACGCGGAUAUUGCCGACGAUGAUACGGUGCUUCCAACAUUCUCCAGCUCUGCAAUCGAAACGCUAAUACACCGAAUACCGGGGCUUUCGAAAAACUUUCUUUAUCUGAACGACGAUAUUUUCCUAGGCGCUCCGCUGUUUCCUGACGAUCUCCUAACCCUAUCGGAAGGAGUGAAAGUGUUUACGGCUUGGCUGGUGCCAGAUUGUGCACCGGACUGUCCGUGGAUGUUUGUAGGCGAUGGUUCCUGCGAUAGCCACUGUUACCUGGAAGAGUGCCAGUUCGAUGGUGGUGACUGUGAUCAUUCCGAUUAUAUCGAACACGAUCAUGAACCUAAAGAUGAGGAUUACCCACCUGUAACAGAGGGCGGGGAAGCUUUCGUCGAUGUUCCUAAAAGGCUUCCUCGGGGAGCAAAAAAAUCGGAAAACAUUCGGGAUAUCUACGAGAUUUUUGUUCAAUCUAAUUUAUCUUCCACGAAGCAGCUGGUAGAUAAAUUCAACAGGGAGAAGAUGAAAAGUAAUAAGGUUAGCUCUAAGAAGAGUUCCGCGAGGAACGAUGGGGAUGAACAUGAAGAGAAAAGUGAAGAGGCUAUGACAAAGUCGCAGGAUAUUUUUGCACACUCGCUAAUUCAUACCAAUAAAAUUUUCAACAAAGUUUACGGGUUUAAGAAUAGAAAAGUACUGGCUCACGUUGGCUUCCUGCUAAAUGUGGAUAUUGUGGAAGCUAUGCUCAGACGGUUCAGAACUGAAUUUAUUGUUACGAAAAACCAUCGUUUUAGAGAGAAAGAUGAUCUACAAUAUGCUUUCACAUACUAUCAUUUCUUGAUGAGUGAAAGCAGGAACAAAAGCGUUUCAGAGAUAUUUGAUGAUUUCGACACUGAUAACUCAGGAACUUGGUCAGAUCGAGAAAUUCGUACGUUGUUGGCAAAAAUUUACAACUUACCACUGGAUUGGUCUGCAGUACGGUACUUUGAGGAAGUAGUUACCAAUUGCUCUCUACAGCAGAACAAUUUUGUACCACUGGAGCAUCAACUUGACCAGCGACAUAUUUAUCCGACAUUAGUUUAUGAGCGCUACGAAGAUUCCACAAUUCCUAUGGUGACCAAAAACCUAGUUCUUCGGUGCCACGAGCUAACCGACAUGAUGCGAGCCAACUUUGGACAGGUACCCCUGUACCGAUUCCACAUCAACCAGAAAACGGGCAUCUACAGUAAUUUUAAAAUGCUAACGUCCAACAUUACCCAGGUGGUAGAUGCACUGGACGAGUUACGUAAGAAUCCUAAAAAGUUCAACUGCAUUAACGACAACCUCACCGAGGACAACCCGGAAGAAAACCAACUGAUCUCAGCUCUGUUGGAAGAUUUCUACCUUUCGCUAUUCCCAGCACGGAGCCAGUUUGAGCUGGAGAAUAACUAUCGUAACAGAUUUCACUACUACGACGAAUACCGGGCCUGGCUAGACCGGAAAAGGCUGAUUCGGAAUGCAGUGUACGGUGUGUGUCUGCUGAUUUUUCUCGUUUGCGCUAAGAUGCUCUGCUUUCGGCACAAGGGGAAAUUUGCGCGAACGCUGGUGUUAUUUGGAAGCCGGGCGGAUUACAGUACGAUCUGAUCGAUGAAUCGGAAAGUUUUUGAUGCAAUAAUACUAACAUACUCAAGCUAGAUAAAAUGUUUUUAUUUAUUUUACUGCGCAAGUGUAUAUUUGGACAAAAAGGAUUUUCGCGUUUUCAUUUCGAUAUGUAAUCUCCAGUCACCUGGUAAAGCGUUGUUAAACACAGCAAACUAGUACGAAUUAGGGUAGUCAGUGACAUUGGACAUCUACAACCUUUAUCCGUCGCUUAGUAUAUUAAAAGUUUGGUUGUCAUCUCAAUGAAAGUGUUGAAUUUAAAUUUGCUAAUAAAUUGCUAAAUUUGUCCAUCGGCAACACUGGUAUACGCACGUAACAUGGUUAAAAAGAAAUUUUAAACAGGAAAGCGGCUGGUCAAGAAAGCUACUGUUUCACGCAAGGAGUCAAAUUUGAUUACUUUCGUGUCAUGUACCCAAAUGACGGGUGUAAUUUAGUACAGUUAAUAAUAAGUAAGGAUAAGUAAAA